rnacentral:rRNA from 1 species
AGUGAACGCUGGCGGUAGGCCUAACACAUGCAAGUCGAACGGCAGCACAGGAGAGCUUGCUCUCUGGGUGGCGAGUGGCGGACGGGUGAGGAAUGCAUCGGAAUCUACUCUUUCGUGGGGGAUAACGUAGGGAAACUUACGCUAAUACCGCAUACGACCUACGGGUGAAAGCCGGGGACCUUCGGGCCUGGCGCGAAAGAAUGAGCCGAUGCCCGAUUAGCUAGUUGGCGGGGUAAGAGCCCACCAAGGCGACGAUCGGUAGCUGGUCUGAGAGGAUGAUCAGCCACACUGGAACUGAGACACGGUCCAGACUCCUACGGGGGGCAGCGGUGGGGAAUAUUGGACAAUGGGCGCAAGCCUGAUCCAGCCAUACCGCGUGGGUGAAGAAGGCCUUCGGGUUGUAAAGCCCUUUUGUUGGGAAAGAAAAGCAGUCGGUUAAUACCCGAUUGUUCUGACGGUACCCAAAGAAUAAGCACCGCUAAUC